CUUCCGCCGCCGCGGCCCCCGCCCCAGCCACGCGCCACGUGACGGCCGGGAAGGAGGGCCCAGUGUUCACCAUCAUACCAGGGGCCAGAGGCGAUGGCUUGCCUCCAUGAGACCCGAACACCCUCUCCUUCCUUUGGGGGCUUCGUGUCUACCCUAAGUGAGGCAUCCAUGCGCAAGCUGGACCCAGACACUUCUGACUGCACUCCCGAGAAGGACCUGACGCCUACCCAGUGUGUACUUCGAGAUGUGGUACCCCUUGGUGGGCAGGGUGGGGGAGGGCCCAGCCCCUCCCCAGGUGGAGAGCCGCCCCCUGAGCCUUUUGCCAACAGUGUCCUGCAGCUACAUGAGCAGGAUGCAGGGGGCCCAGGGGGAGCAGCUGGGUCACCUGAGAGUCGGGCAUCCAGAGUUCGAGCUGACGAGGUGCGACUGCAGUGCCAGAGUGGCAGUGGCUUCCUUGAGGGCCUCUUUGGCUGCCUGCGCCCUGUCUGGACCAUGAUUGG
rnacentral:sRNA from 1 species